rnacentral:rRNA from 1 species
UACAGAGGGUGCGAGCGUUGUCCGGAAUCACUGGGCGUAAAGCGCGCGUAGGCGGGCUAUUAAGUUGGAUGUGAAAUCUUCGGGCUCAACCCGGAAACCGCAUCCAAAACUGUUAGCCUUGAGGUAUGGAGAGGGAAGUGGAAUUCCUGGUGUAGCGGUGAAAUGCGUAGAUAUCAGGAGGAACACCCGUGGCGAAGGCGGCUUCCUGGCCAUAUCCUGACGCUGGAGGUGCGAAAGCUAGGGGAGCGAACGGGG